GGAUGUUGUAGGAAUAUAUAUGUAGAGAGAGCUUCCUUGAGUCCAUUCACAGGUCGUGAUAUGAUCCAAUUAGCUUCCGACUCAUUCAUCCAAAUACCGAGUCGCCAAAAUUCGAACUAGACUCGUUAAAUGAAUGAAUGAUGCGGUAGACAAAUUGGAUCAUUGAUUCUCUUUGAUUGGACUGAAGGGAGCUCCCUCUCUCUUCUGUAUUCCAAUUGUCU
rnacentral:pre_miRNA from 1 species